ACUUGCCUGAGGUGUGCGUUACUCGUUACGUCCCUGAGCCGAUAAUUUGAAACUUUGAGUUGGACAUCUAAAUGCCGGUGAGCAGGCUUACCUUGAGUAAGAAGCCUAAAGGCAAUUAAGUUCGACUCCCUUGAACCUUCUGGUUCAAGGACCACCACAAGUAACGGCACUUCGGGUUCUUU
rnacentral:other from 22 species